rnacentral:rRNA from 1 species
GGCGAAAGCGGCUCGUUGAUCGCAACUGUCGCUGAGGGUCGAAAGCUAGGAGAACAAACAGAAUAGAUACCCUGGUAGUCCUAGCCCUAAACGAUCAGGACUGGCGUGUGCCCUGUACGGGGCUCGUGCCGUAGCUAACGCGUAAGUCAUGCGCCUGGGGAGUACGGUCGCAGGGCUGAAACUCAAAGGAAUUGACGGGGGCCCGCACAAGCGGUGGAACAUGUGGUUCAAUUCGACGCAACGCGAAGAACCUUACCUGGGCUUGAACCGCACCGGACCAUCUUUGGAAACAGGGACUUCCCGCAAGGGGCUGGUGUAGAGGUGCUGCAUGGCUGUCGUCAGCUCGUGCCGUGAGGUGUUGGGUUAAGUCCCGCAACGAGCGCAACCCUUACUCGUAGUUGCCACCCGCAAGGGGGAACUCUAUGAGGACUGCUCCGGAUAACGGAGAGGAAGGUGGGGAUGAGGUCAAGUCAGCAUGGCCUUUAUGUCCAGGGCCACACACGUGUUACAGUGCGCGCCACAAAGCGUCGCGAGCCCGCGAGGGGGAGCUAAUCGCAAAAAAGCGCGCUCAGUUCGGAUUGCAGUCUGCAACUCGACUGCAUGAAGCCGGAAUCGCUAGUAAUGGCGCAUCAGAACGGCGCCGCGAAUACGUUCCCGGGCCUUGUACACACCGCCCGUCACAUCACGAAAGUGAGCUGUACUAGAAGUCGCCAAGCCAACCGCAGGGAGGCAGGCGCCCAAGGUAUGACUCAUGAUUGGGGUGAAGCCUUUCAUAGUGGAUCC